rnacentral:misc_RNA from 1 species
ACAAUGGUAGUACGGCCAUU